rnacentral:lncRNA from 1 species
GAGAGUUCCAGUGGGAUGCGUCUCUCCCUUCCCAGGGAGUAUGAUUGAACGGCAGCACAGUGCCAGGGAUUCUUGUUACAACUGGACCUCUACCUGGUCACUGUGCACCCAGCUCCCUCAGGAGGGGAGAGAGUGGCCGCUCUCGUCUCCUGACUCACAGGAAGAGCGCUGGAGUGGGCAAACGCCAUGUGGAGAGAAGGAGACACGGCACCAGACCACUUCUGGAGGAGGAGCCAUCACGUGCGCCAUCUGUAGCCGUAGAAGACACACUGCCGGUCGGUGCCGUGUCGGUCCCCCUGGGAGUCGAGGUAGCAGGCAGGGCACUCUGGCGUCACCCCAGGGAAAUACCAUGAUCCUGGUCGUUGUGGAUCGUUUUUCUAAGUCCUGUCGUCUCCUCCCUCUGCCUGCCUGGUCUCCCUACGGCCCUACAGACUGCGGAGGCCCUGUUUACACACGUCUUCCAGCACUACGGGGUGCCUGAGGAUAUAGUGUCGGAUCGGGGUCCCUAGUUCACGUCGAGAGUUUGGAAGGCGUUCAUGGAACGUCUGGGGGUCUCGAUUAGCCUUACCUCAGGUUUUCACCCUGAGAGUAACGGGCAGGUAGAGAGAGUCAACCAGGAUGUGGGCAGGUUUCUGCGGUCCUAUUGCCAGGACCAGCCGGGGGAGUGGGCAGUGUUUGUGCCCUGGGCCGAGAUGGCACAGAACUCUCUUCGCCACUCCUCCACUAACCUCUCCCCCUUCCAGUGCGUAUUGGGGUACCAGCCGGUUCUGGCACCAUGGCAUCAGGGUCAGACCGAGACUCUUGCGGUGGAGGACUGGUUUAGGCGCGCGGAGGAGACAUGGGAGGCCACCCGGUCAGCAAAGUGUACUGUGUUUGUACAGUACAACAUUUAUGCUGUGGGUACAGGUAUUUGGGAUUCUUUAAUGUUUUUUCAAAUUUCAUAACCUUUAUUUAACUAGGUAAGUCAGUUAAGAACAAAUUCUAAUUUACAAUGACGGCCUACACCGGCCAAACCCAGACAAUUGGCUGGGCCAAUUGUGCGCCACCCUAUGGGACUCGCAGUCACAGCCGAGAUACAGUCUGGAUUUGAACCAGGAUGUCUGUAGUGUCGUCUCUAGCGCUGAUACGCAGUGACUUAGACCACUACGCUACUCGGGAGCCCACAUAAAGUAACUCUACAUAAACCUAUAUGUCAUCGAUGCUAUGGAUUUGGGUUAUGCUCCUGUAUGUAUUGGUUUCUGUGUUCCUGGCGUGCAGCGUUUAUAGAUCUUGGCUGUCUGUCUGGGGGACUGUGGGCCCUCCGUCCAGCCUUGUAUGUGAUCACUCCCAUGGAGACUGUAGGAACUUCAUCACAAUGACAGACUCUACUCUCCAGCAAAACAUCUCCCAAAUGUGUUGCAGUGUUUUUAGAGCUUAGAUUGGUUAUUUGUGUAAUAAUUCUGUCAUUUCUAGCACAGGAAAUUGUUUGCUUUAUUUUCUACAUAGUUAUAAGUAGAAAAUACAUAGUUUGUUGUGACCUUUUACUUUUAAAUUAGUCUAAUUUCUGUGAAAUAUGUGCCCUCCAAAUGUUUGCUCUAAUUGUCACGACUUCCAUCGGGCGGUGCUCGGCGGUCGUCGUCGCCGGCCUACUAGCUGCCACCGAUCCAUUUUUCCUUUUCGUCUGUCUGUUUUGUCACACCUGUGUUUAAUUUAGUUGAUUUCGG